UUCAAUUUAAAACGAGUGGCAAAUGAGCUCAUCAAACUCCCCCUACUUAACUGUUGUUCUGUCGCUUCUUCAUCUAAAACACUGGAAACGAGUAGACUACAGAGAUGCAUCUAUGGCCAUCAACUCGCCUCAGAGACUCGUUCAAGAAAGAUUACUUAAACAAACUCCAACUCAACUUUCGUCGCAUGAGCUCUCACAAGCAACAAAACUCACCAGACUCUAGUUCCAGCACUACCCUCUUGAACAAAGAUGAUGUCAAUAAUAAUAAUAGUAAAGAAGAUGAAGAUGAUGGGGAUUCUUGGGUCUGUUGCAAGGACGUUCUUUUGAUUUUCUCCCUGUGUUUCUGCUGUGGAGCUUGUUGCUGACUGGUUAUCAUGAAGAAAUCAUCAUCGAGCUACUAGUUUGUUUAGACAGCCUGCAACAUGGAAUGACUACAGAACCAUGUAUGCGGUGCACUUCCGCAGAUUUCUUGAACAACUUUAUACAUACAAUUAUGCAUUGUUGAAAGAACUAGGUUUUACUGGAAUUCAGUCUCAUAUGUUAAUAUAUAUUAUACUGUAAAUUGUGCUCCAUGUUAUUGAUCUUAUUCGGGAUC